AACGAACGCUGGCGGCAUGCCUAACACAUGCAAGUCGAACGAGACCUUCGGGUCUAGUGGCGCACGGGUGCGUAACGCGUGGGAACCUGCCCUUAGGUUCGGAAUAACUCCCCGAAAGGGGUGCUAAUACCGGAUAAUGUCUUCGGACCAAAGAUUUAUCGCCUUUGGAUGGGCCCGCGUUGGAUUAGCUUGUUGGUAGGGUAAAAGCCUACCAAGUCGAAGAUCCAUAGCUGGUCUGAGAGGAUGAUCAGCCACACUGGGAGUGAGACACGGCCCAGACUCGUACGGGAGGCAGCAGUGGGGAAUGUUGGACAAUGGGCGAAAGCAUGAUGCAGCAAGGCCGCGUGAGUGAUGAAGGCGUUAGGGUUGUAAAGCUCUUUUACCCGGGAUGAUAAUGACAGUACCGGGAGAAUAAGCUCCGGCUAACUCCGUG
rnacentral:rRNA from 1 species